GAUGAACGCUGACAGAAUGCUUAACACACGCAAGUCAUUGGCGAAGCUGCGCUUGCGCAGUCUAGCCAAGGCGGACGGGUGAGUAACGCGUAAGGAACUUGCCCUGCAGACAGGGAUAACAGACGGAAACGACUGAUAACACCUGGUAUUGUCAGGCUGGCGCAUGCCGGCCUGAUGAAAGGAGACGCUGCAGGAGAGCCUUGCGUCCUAUUAGCUAGUUAGUGGGGUAACGGCCCACCAAGGCGAUGAUAGGUAGCCGGCCUGAGAGGGUGAACGGCCACAAGGGGACUGAGAUACGGCCCUUACUCCUACGGGAGGCAGCAGUGGGGAAUAUUGGACAAUGGGGGCAACCCUGAUCCAGCAAUUCUGUGUGCACGAAGAAGGUUUUCGGAUGGUAAAGUGCUUUCAGCAGGGAAGAAGAAAGUGACGGUACCUGCAGAAGAAGCGACGGCUAAAUACGU
rnacentral:rRNA from 1 species